ACCUUCAGUAGUGUAGUUGGUAGCGCAUUGGCACAGUAUAUGUCCUAGGUUCGAGUCCAGGUGAGGGUU